rnacentral:misc_RNA from 1 species
AGGGCCACACUGCAGCUCAGAA